rnacentral:lncRNA from 1 species
CAGGGCUGUGCUUUAUGGAGUGCCUGCAGUCCAUCACCUCCUCAUAAACCCAUUCUGGCACCCCCUGUAUUUGUGAGUUUAAACAUUCCUGCCUGCAAUAAACCUGUCGUGCUCGCCCCACAAGUGUCUGAGCUCCCUAUUUCCCUUUCCUGCAACGUUCAAAUACGCUGCUGGGAACCUACAGGCUCCACAUUUUUCCAGCACCUUCUAUGUUUGCAGCACUGUGCAGACGUUCAUUGCCAUCGCCCAACAGCCCAGCGAGGGAGACACUGGCACCUGCAGUUUUGAUGGCAUUACAGCUCAGCUGGCCAAACUCAUGACUGGCACAUACAAAUAGAAGGGGAAGAGGAGUGACUUGCAGAAUGAAUGCCCUUCAGAUAAGCACCUUGGGAGGAUGAUCAGCGUGCCCGUUCCUUCCUGCCGUGCCCCACCUCGGCAGAGUUACAUUUUCUGCCUGCUCAACAAGUGAGAGCUUGUGGCAUCCUCUUCCUCCUUCCAAUGAGACACUCUCCAAACAACCUGAGCAGGCAAACAAAGCCUGGUGUUGUGGCAUCAAGGGAGAAAGGUCUGCACGCACACCAGCCAAGAGCCGCGUUGUGAAACGCCCGAUGUUGACACACACCAGCUGAAGAAACACACAUCCACCAAGUGGAAGGAAAUCAAAAUGGAAUUACCCAACUCUGUUAUCUCCCUGUUCAUUCAGCCGUGCUCCUACCCGAUUUUCUCCCAAUUCAUUUGCAGCGAGACUCAGUGCAGAUAUGUAGUCUAGUUAUAGUUCCUUUCUGGAUUUUAGAGCUUGCUGAAAUAAGAUAUAUUAAAAUAAUAGUCUGGUUUAAGCACAGCUUUCAUACCCUUACUGCACAUUCACAUUAAAA